UUGGCCUGUGGAUCAUGAUCUAGCUCUCAGAGCUACAGCUCUAACACCUGCCUACCUGCUGCCAUGUCCUCCAUCAUGUUAAAAUGGACUCAACCUCUGAAACUCUAAGGAGACAGAGGAAGGAGUCCACAGAGGCAUCACCAAGUUUCCUGGGAAACAGUAGGUCACACAUCUCCUGGAACUGCUUCUAGAAGACCUGACUCAGAUGGGUAGAGCUCACAUUACUGGUCUCUGUGGGAUUAGUUUUGGGAUUUAGUUUUCUGAGACAGUAUCUCAAUAUAUUGUUCAG
rnacentral:lncRNA from 1 species